AGCGCAGACGGCGAUGCAAGUCUGGAGUGAAAGCCCGGGGCUCAACCCCGGGACUGCUUUGGAAACUGUAUGGCUAGAGUGCUGGAGAGGCAAGCGGAAUUCCUAGUGUAGCGAUGAAAUGCGUAGAUAUUAGGAAGAACACCAGUGGCGAAGGCGGCUUGCUGGACAGUAACUGACGUUCAGGCUGAAAGCGUGGGGGAGCAAACA
rnacentral:rRNA from 1 species